rnacentral:rRNA from 1 species
AGUGAACGCUGGCGGUAGGCCUAACACAUGCAAGUCGAACGGCAGCACAGUAAGAGCUUGCUCUUACGGGUGGCGAGUGGCGGACGGGUGAGGAAUACAUCGGAAUCUACUUUUUCGUGGGGGAUAACGUAGGGAAACUUACGCCAAUACCGCAUACGACCUACGGGUGAAAGCAGCGGAUCUUCGGACCUUGCGCGAUUGAAUGAGCCGAUGUCGGAUUAGCUAGUUGGCGGGGUAAAGGCCCACCAAGGCGACGAUCCGUAGCUGGUCUGAGAGGAUGAUCAGCCACAAUGGAAAUGAGACACGGUCCCGACUCCUACGGGAGGCAGCAGGGGGGAAUAUUUGACAAUGGGGGGAAGCCUGAUCCAGCCAUGCCGCGUGGGUGAAGAAGGGCUUCGGAUUGUAAAACCCUUUUUGUUGGGAAAAAAAGCAGGAAGUUAAAACCCCGCUGUUUUGACGGGACCCAAAGAAAAAGCACCGGCUAACUUCGUG